AUGCUCCUAAAACCCCAGGCAAUCUGGGCGGCUUCCCUCCCUCUCUUCCUCGGCCGCCGCCUCCUCCCCAAAUCCAGCCCCUCUCCUCCUCCCUCCGGCCGCCGCCUCCCCUUCCGCCCGAUUUGCAAGCGGCGGAUGAGCGCGCAGGCGGACCCCAGAUUCGCCCCUCUCCCCACAGCGCAGUCCGAGGCUGAUGCCGGGGCAGACGGGUACCAGUUCCGGCUGGUUUCCUACAACAUACUCGCCCAGGUUUAUGUGAAGAGCGCAUUUUUUCCCCAUUCUCCAUCCGCGUCUCUUAAGUGGAAAGCUCGUUCAAAAGCCGUUCUAACAGAACUUAAGAGUUUUAAUGCUGACCUCAUGUGCAUACAGGAGUUGGAUGAAUAUGAGACAUUCUAUAGGAAAAACAUGGAAAGUACUGGAUAUUCAAGUAUUUAUGUCCAGCGAUCUGGGGACAAACGGGAUGGAUGUGGUAUAUUUUAUAAACCAAAAAGUGUGGAACUGUUACAGAAGGAAGUAAUACAUUACAAUGACUUGGUGGAAACAUGUCAUCUUAAUGAUAAUGUAAUUAGUGCUCCCUCGAAUAAUUCUUCACCAUCAGAAGAAUCUAGUGGAAAGGAAGAUAAUAAGAAACGUGGAGAUCCAAAUGAUCCACGUGUGAGAUUGAAGCGUGACUGUGUUGGUUUACUUGCUGCUUUCAAGCUUGGCGAUCCUUGUGAGCAUAUUCUAAUUGUGGCGAACACACAUAUUUAUUGGGAUCCAGAAUGGAUUGAUGUGAAGUUGGCUCAAGCAAAGUAUCUUCUUUCAAAAGUCUCUGAGUUUGAGAAAAUUAUCGCAAAUAAGUUCACCUGUAAACCUUCUGUGAUCAUUGCUGGUGAUUUUAACUCCACCCCUGGUGAUAAGGUAUACAAUUACCUUGUAUCAGCUAGCUCCGAAUCUACGGACGAAGCCCUGAUCAAAUUGCACAGCCUGUAUGCUGAGAACGGAGGGGAGCCGGAGUUCACAAAUUGCACUCCAGGUUUUACUGGAACAUUGGACUACAUAUUCCUGUCGGAAGGCGGUUCAGUAAAACCUACUAGCCUACUUCGGAUCCCACGAGGGGGUUCCCCGGAUGUGGAAGGAGGCCUGCCCAACUUCCACCAUCCUAGUGAUCACUUGCCAAUCGGUGCCGAUUUCCAGGUACUUAGCAGCUAG
rnacentral:rRNA from 1 species